rnacentral:lncRNA from 1 species
GGAGAAGAAAGACCUUUCAAAAGCCUGAGUGCUGGCAGAACGACUUUCUCCACGAUCACCUCCGUUCUGCAGCUGUUGUGCCAGUGGGCUCUGCCACUGGACUGCAGCCUCCCUUCUUCUCCCUUCAGAGCUCUCUGUGGGGAGCAGUGGGGAGAAUAUGCCCAGGGCUACUGAUGUCACAACAAGUCCAUGACCUUCUCCAGCAACACAAGUGAAGGUUGAUGUUAGCUCAGUGCAGCUGUGGAUCAAAUGUUCCUGUUUUAAAAGGGCUGAUUGCUUACAGUUUCUCAGAAGAGGUGGUUGUUUUGUUCCAGGAUGACAUGGAGAGGGUCAGGUGAAUGACUUGUUCAUCACAAGCACCACCCAUAGAAGAUGAUGUAGAAAUGCCUGAAAAGAAGUUCAAGCAGUACCUCUGUGGCUACAGAGAACCUCUCAGAUGUCUCAGAUGUCAGAUGGGUGCAGCUCAGAGGAAGCGCUUCUGUUGCCAUUGGAAAGGAAAGAACCAUGAGCAUCAGGGUUCAGGGAACACAAGCGAAAUCGCUUUCAACUCCAGAGGACUUCAAUGUCUGAAACUUCUUGUUCUUAAUGCUAUUGUUCUUCUGAAGAAUAAUCUAAACAAUUGUGGAAAAACCUAGAACUGCUAAUCUAAGUUGCUAGCAGUGAACAAAGAUUGAUGCUUAGCAAAGCAUGCAAAGUUUCUCAGGUAGACCAAUACAGAGUAGGGUAAAAUCUUAACUUAGACAUCCUAUCCUGUCAGGAGCCAUCAUAACACCUCAAAGUGCAAUAUUUAAUUCAUCACCUUGUAUAAUACUGGACCCACAAUGCAUAAUAAGGGAUCUAAAUAUUUUAGAUAUUAUUUUUUUCCUAAAUUAAUAUAUUAUUCAGCAUCACUGGUAAUAUGAAGGUUCAUUGGGAGAGAUGUAAGAGAUGUGAAGGAAAAAUGUCAUAUUCUUUCUGUAGCAGUGAGCUGCAUUCAUAUCUUGCUGUUCCCCAACUGAAAUAAUAUUGGCUGAAAACAUGAGUAUAAAUGUUGAAAGUUUAUUGAGAAAGAACACAUUCUACCUGCAAUUUCUAAAGAAAAAUGAGUAAGCUAGUUUAAAACAUUUUGAAAAUAAAUAAGAGAAGAUAACCUCA